UAUAAUGUGAUUUUCAACCUCUAAUUUGAGAAUUAUUUCCUGCUCUACGCAUGAAGAUGUAUCUAAUUUGUUGUUUCAACUAACAGUUGAAUGAUUGAUGAUGAGUGAGGCUUGUUAUAAUGGUACAAACACUUCCACUGCCAACUGAUAGGUGGUGGAAGAUAUUGCUUUGAUACGACUCUAUCGCGUACACGAAGUAGUCAAAAUCUUAGGGAAACCAGUCAAGAGGAAACUUGCAGCUUUCUAUAAUUCUGUUGUCCCUCACACCAGCAUGGCUACAGGUAUCUAAUCAAU
rnacentral:lncRNA from 1 species